UACGUAGGGACCGAGCGUUGUCCGGAAUCAUUGGGCGUAAAGAGCGUGUAGGCGGCCAUUUAAGUCCUGCGUGAAAUCCUGCGGCUCAACCGCAGGCGGUCGUGGGAAACUGGAUGGCUAGAGUGUGGGAGAGGCGCGUGGAAUUGCAGGUGUAGCGGUGAAAUGCGCAGAUAUCGGGAGGAACACCGGUGGCGAAGGCGGUUCUCUGGGACGGUACUGACGCUGAGACGCGAAAGCGUGGGGGAGCGA
rnacentral:rRNA from 1 species